AGCCAACUGGCUCAGCUGGUUAGAGUGUUGUGCUCAUAACACGAAGACGUUGGGUUCGAGCCCAAAGUUGGCUA
rnacentral:tRNA from 1 species